rnacentral:rRNA from 1 species
UUAAGCGACUAAGCGUACACGGUGGAUGCCCUGGCAGUCAGAGGCGAUGAAGGACGUGCUAAUCUGCGAUAAGCGUCGGUAAGGUGAUAUGAACCGUUAUAACCGGCGAUUUCCGAAUGGGGAAACCCAGUGUGUUUCGACACACUAUCAUUAACUGAAUCCAUAGGUUAAUGAGGCGAACCGGGGGAACUGAAACAUCUAAGUACCCCGAGGAAAAGAAAUCAACCGAGAUUCCCCCAGUAGCGGCGAGCGAACGGGGAGCAGCCCAGAGCCUGAAUCAGUAUGUGUGUUAGUGGAAGCGUCUGGAAAGGCGCGCGAUACAGGGUGACAGCCCCGUACACAAAAAUGCACAUGCUGUGAGCUCGAUGAGUAGGGCGGGACACGUGGUAUCCUGUCUGAAUAUGGGGGGACCAUCCUCCAAGGCUAAAUACUCCUGACUGACCGAUAGUGAACCAGUACCGUGAGGGAAAGGCGAAAAGAACCCCGGCGAGGGGAGUGAAAAAGAACCUGAAACCGUGUACGUACAAGCAGUGGGAGCACGCUUAGGCGUGUGACUGCGUACCUUUUGUAUAAUGGGUCAGCGACUUAUAUUCUGUAGCAAGGUUAACCGAAUAGGGGAGCCGAAGGGAAACCGAGUCUUAACUGGGCGUUAAGUUGCAGGGUAUAGACCCGAAACCCGGUGAUCUAGCCAUGGGCAGGUUGAAGGUUGGGUAACACUAACUGGAGGACCGAACCGACUAAUGUUGAAAAAUUAGCGGAUGACUUGUGGCUGGGGGUGAAAGGCCAAUCAAACCGGGAGAUAGCUGGUUCUCCCCGAAAGCUAUUUAGGUAGCGCCUCGUGAAUUCAUCUCCGGGGGUAGAGCACUGUUUCGGCAAGGGGGUCAUCCCGACUUACCAACCCGAUGCAAACUGCGAAUACCGGAGAAUGUUAUCACGGGAGACACACGGCGGGUGCUAACGUCCGUCGUGAAGAGGGAAACAACCCAGACCGCCAGCUAAGGUCCCAAAGUCAUGGUUAAGUGGGAAACGAUGUGGGAAGGCCCAGACAGCCAGGAUGUUGGCUUAGAAGCAGCCAUCAUUUAAAGAAAGCGUAAUAGCUCACUGGUCGAGUCGGCCUGCGCGGAAGAUGUAACGGGGCUAAACCAUGCACCGAAGCUGCGGCAGCGACACUAUGUGUUGUUGGGUAGGGGAGCGUUCUGUAAGCCUGUGAAGGUGUGCUGUGAGGCAUGCUGGAGGUAUCAGAAGUGCGAAUGCUGACAUAAGUAACGAUAAAGCGGGUGAAAAGCCCGCUCGCCGGAAGACCAAGGGUUCCUGUCCAACGUUAAUCGGGGCAGGGUGAGUCGACCCCUAAGGCGAGGCCGAAAGGCGUAGUCGAUGGGAAACAGGUUAAUAUUCCUGUACUUGGUGUUACUGCGAAGGGGGGACGGAGAAGGCUAUGUUGGCCGGGCGACGGUUGUCCCGGUUUAAGCGUGUAGGCUGGUUUUCCAGGCAAAUCCGGAAAAUCAAGGCUGAGGCGUGAUGACGAGGCACUACGGUGCUGAAGCAACAAAUGCCCUGCUUCCAGGAAAAGCCUCUAAGCAUCAGGUAACAUCAAAUCGUACCCCAAACCGACACAGGUGGUCAGGUAGAGAAUACCAAGGCGCUUGAGAGAACUCGGGUGAAGGAACUAGGCAAAAUGGUGCCGUAACUUCGGGAGAAGGCACGCUGAUAUGUAGGUGAAGCGACUUGCUCGUGGAGCUGAAAUCAGUCGAAGAUACCAGCUGGCUGCAACUGUUUAUUAAAAACACAGCACUGUGCAAACACGAAAGUGGACGUAUACGGUGUGACGCCUGCCCGGUGCCGGAAGGUUAAUUGAUGGGGUCAGCGCAAGCGAAGCUCUUGAUCGAAGCCCCGGUAAACGGCGGCCGUAACUAUAACGGUCCUAAGGUAGCGAAAUUCCUUGUCGGGUAAGUUCCGACCUGCACGAAUGGCGUAAUGAUGGCCAGGCUGUCUCCACCCGAGACUCAGUGAAAUUGAACUCGCUGUGAAGAUGCAGUGUACCCGCGGCAAGACGGAAAGACCCCGUGAACCUUUACUAUAGCUUGACACUGAACAUUGAGCCUUGAUGUGUAGGAUAGGUGGGAGGCUUUGAAGUGUGGACGCCAGUCUGCAUGGAGCCGACCUUGAAAUACCACCCUUUAAUGUUUGAUGUUCUAACGUGGACCCGUGAUCCGGGUUGCGGACAGUGUCUGGUGGGUAGUUUGACUGGGGCGGUCUCCUCCUAAAGAGUAACGGAGGAGCACGAAGGUUGGCUAAUCCUGGUCGGACAUCAGGAGGUUAGUGCAAUGGCAUAAGCCAGCUUGACUGCGAGCGUGACGGCGCGAGCAGGUGCGAAAGCAGGUCAUAGUGAUCCGGUGGUUCUGAAUGGAAGGGCCAUCGCUCAACGGAUAAAAGGUACUCCGGGGAUAACAGGCUGAUACCGCCCAAGAGUUCAUAUCGACGGCGGUGUUUGGCACCUCGAUGUCGGCUCAUCACAUCCUGGGGCUGAAGUAGGUCCCAAGGGUAUGGCUGUUCGCCAUUUAAAGUGGUACGCGAGCUGGGUUUAGAACGUCGUGAGACAGUUCGGUCCCUAUCUGCCGUGGGCGCUGGAGAACUGAGGGGGGCUGCUCCUAGUACGAGAGGACCGGAGUGGACGCAUCACUGGUGUUCGGGUUGUCAUGCCAAUGGCACUGCCCGGUAGCUAAAUGCGGAAGAGAUAAGUGCUGAAAGCAUCUAAGCACGAAACUUGCCCCGAGAUGAGUUCUCCCUGACCCUUUAAGGGUCCUGAAGGAACGUUGAAGACGACGACGUUGAUAGGCCGGGUGUGUAAGCGCAGCGAUGCGUUGAGCUAACCGGUACUAAUGAACCGUGAGGCUUAACCUU